CCCGGUCAAUCUCAUAGCAUGAUGUUGAGCAUUUCCAUUUUCUUUUGUUUAUGUUAUCUGCUGCUAGUAAUUUGUUUUAUAACACCAGCCAGUUUUGAAGAUUCUUUUUGUUUUUUGGCAAAGGUAUCUUCCAUUUUAUGUUUACAGAUUUGGAUGUAACACCACCAUGGCAAAAGAAAUAGUAGCAUUUUUUUACUAUGAACUUCCCAUUGUUGCGCC
rnacentral:lncRNA from 1 species